GAUGAUGAUCCCAAGCCUUCUGGCGAUCUAGACAAAACAAGUCCACCGUGGGCUUUGAAAAACGCUUUCCUUGAUAAAAUUUAAGCGUUUUAUAAGAGGAUGCCGGGGAAGGUUUUCCGGUUUAUCCCGGAGGGCUUGUAGCUCAGUUGGUUAGAGCGCGCGCUUGAUAAGCGUGAGGUCGGAGGUUCAAGUCCUCCCAGGCCCACCAGUUUAUCCAUUACUUUCAUAAGUGCUUUUAAAAAAUAAGUACUUCUAAAAAGAUUGCUUCUAAAAAGAUUGCUUCUAAAAAGCUUAUCAAAAUUGGCAGGCUUAUUGCUUUUGUGUGAGUAAUCCAAAGUUAAAGCAAAUUAAUGGCAAAAAAACAGUUCAAAUGCUAAAUACUAAGGAGUCAAAAUUCCUUGCAAAGUGAUUUUUACAGCGUCCAUUUGGUUGAUAUAAAUUCCAAAUGCUCAUAGACGUCAAUGCCUAUAUGAAACUAUCGGUUCAAUCAUAUCGCUUUGAGUUAUAUAGAUUUUGUAAUCCCUCUUUUGAUCGUUUUAAACGCUUUAUCCUGAUUUAGGGGCCGUAGCUCAGCUGGGAGAGCACCUGCUUUGCAAGCAGGGGGUCGUCGGUUCGAUCCCGUCCGGCUCCACCAUAAGGUCAUCAUCAUUGUUGUAAGAACAGUUUUGUAAAAGGUUUGCGGACCUUUUGCUUGUUCU
rnacentral:tRNA from 1 species